ensembl:snRNA U6 U6 spliceosomal RNA
GUUCCCUUUGGCAACAGUAAAUGUGGGUCACAGAAGAUGAGCAUGGCCCCUGCACAAUGAGGACUCAAAAAUACAUGAAGCAGUUCAUAUUUUA